rnacentral:rRNA from 1 species
UACGGAGGGUGCAAGCGUUAUCCGGAUUCACUGGGUUUAAAGGGUGCGUAGGAGGGCAGGUAAGUCAGUGGUGAAAUCUCCAAGCUUAACUUGGAAACUGCCGUUGAUACUAUCUGUCUUGAAUAUUGUGGAGGUGAGCGGAAUAUGUCAUGUAGCGGUGAAAUGACUUAGAUAUGACAUAGAACACCAAUUGCGAAAGGCAGCUCACUACUCAAUCAUUGACUCUGAGGCACGAAAGCGUGGGGAUCAAACAGG